CAGUCGCCACGGGAAUACGGAGGGUGCAAGCGUUAUCCGGAUUCACUGGGUUUAAAGGGUGCGUAGGCGGAUCUGUAAGUCAGUGGUGAAAUCUCCAGGCUUAACCUGGAAACUGCCGUUGAUACUAUAGGUCUUGAAUUUUGUGGAGGUUAGCGGAAUAUGUCAUGUAGCGGUGAAAUGCAUAGAUAUGACAUAGAACACCAAUUGCGAAGGCAGCUGGCUACACAACUAUUGACGCUGAGGCACGAAAGCGUGGGGAUCAAACAGGAUUAGAUACCCCCGUAGUCCCUGUCUCUUAUAC
rnacentral:rRNA from 1 species